CUGCCGCCCUCCUCAUUCCCCAUCCCCUCUCUCCUCUUCACUCAUCUCUUUCUAGGAUUCUUGGUCCCAAAGCCUUAUCAUCGCAAAACCGACUUCUACUAACAAUGAAAGAUCAGAGACCGUUGUUGGCAGAUUCGAUUGCCCCGUAGAUCGCGAUUCGAGAGCUGCAACCAAGUCACCUCGUCCGUCAAUCCUCCAACUGCUUUUGCUUCCUCAUCCGAGAUCGCCUCACCGAUUCGCGGUUCGAAAUCAUCCUCUUCCUCUUCCUCUCGUCGAUCGCUACAUCGGAUCUUUUUUAAAAAUCCACGAGUAUCAUUUUUCCUUUCGAUGAGUUCAUACCCGCCGUCAAAGGUUGAGGCCGCGAAUCGCCAUCACGAUUUGGCGGUGCUCUUCACCGAGUUCUCUCUACGUGUACUGACUGGUUGAACAAGUUGCUGUCUGAUAUGUGGCCUUACCUUGAUAAGUUUGCAGGCAAUAUGUGGCGUUAUAAAAAGCAUGGCAGAACCUGUAUUCGCAGACAUUAUGGGAGUACUACAAUGGAAGGUGGACAAUCUCUAUGGGAUAAGGGUGUAAAAUGCUUGGUUGUCUAGCUCCAUGGCACGGUGUUUUAUUUGCCUCGUUUGGAUCAUGUACUGGAGAGGGGAAAGCCUCAUGAAAGAAGCCAGAUUAUAAGCAAGUUGUCAGGACAUAUUGUACAAUUGAGCCAGCAUAAAUUUGCAUCAAAUGUUAUUAAGAAAUGUUUGGAGUAUGGUGGCCCCAUUGAACGAGAACUAUUAAUUAGGGAGAUUUUUGGGCAUAAUGAAGGAACCAAUAAUUUAUUGGCCGAAGGUUUCAUUGGCACUUUUCUUCAAUUACAACACCUUGAUGGGACCGGCAUAUCGGGUUUUGGUAGAUACCAACUUCAUCGAUUUCUGUAUCCCGAAUAAGCUGGACUUGGAGAAGGGAAUGAUGGACUGCCUAUAUGCAAAAUGUGAGUUUAGAAUCACUGGUUUCUUCAAUUUAAUGUGAAUAUUAAUUUGUUGCAAGAAUUGUUGUGCCGUGUUGAUGAGGUAUCCUAAGUUCAACAUAGUUGUUAAUGUGGUUUUAUAACAGGCAUUGAGUGCCAUGUAUCAUUGGCAAACACUUAAAUAUGUGUUGGUUGCUUAAUGAUAUUUAUCAAAAUAUUACUCUUGGUUGUGUGGAUGUCCAUGAGAAUGCUUAAGGAAUAAAAUGAGGAUCUUUUUUUAAAUUAU